CUCCAAAGCAGACGGUGUCUGUACAGCAGCUCCACACAAGUUUCAUUUCGGACUAUACGGCAUCAAGCUAUCUAUCUAAGUUGUUUCUAUUUUCAUGGAUUUAACUUCAACCACAGCCCAUCUUCAGUUACUUCGGGUGCUGAUCCAGCAGUCUGUGGACCUCCGAGGACCCCAGAAACCUAUAGAUCUGCCACUGAACAGCUGGAAAGAGAAGACGUGUCAGAAGUACAGGGGAUAAAAUUCAGAUAUGGCUGAAUCACAGGUGCUAAAGAACAUAGGGGAUGCGAUAGCAGGAGUGCUUCCGGACCUUCCUGAUCAACUUGUCAAGUCAGUUGAAGAUACUUUGAAAACACUUGGUGCCGCAACCACAGAUGAUUUAAAGUACAUUACAGAAAAUGACUUGCUGCCAGUGUUAAAGCCCAUACAAGCCCGAAGACUGGUUGCUGCCUGGACCCAAAAUAGAUAUCAUUCUCUGGUGAAACAACUUCAGGCAAGAGUUGAAAAUGUCAAGCGACCUGACACACCAAAGGUUAUAAAGCGCAAAGCAGCAUCAGAUGAUGAUGACACAGAUGAAAUACCUGCAGAAAAAAAAGCAAGUGUUCAAGACACCUAUGGCUGUAUUAGCUGGGAGCCAAAGCCUUUGCCACUCUCUGAGACUGUGGAGAGUCAGCUUGAAAAAAAAGAAGAAAUGAAGACAUUGUUUAAAAAGAACUACAGUACAGAUGUUGUGAAAAAACUAGUCAAGUGCACCUAUUACACCCAGCGUAAAGACAUCAACAAAGGGGCAAGCAUCCAGAAACUAUGUCAGGAAUGGCCCUUUCUCUUCAAUGAAGUUGGUAUGCCAGCACAUUUCCAAGAGCUGACUGGUGUGAAUCUGAUGGAGACCUUCCUUGCCAAUGUAGACAAAAAGGGGGCACGUCUGUUAAAGUUCCUGAGAAAUGUUGAUGCACAAAAACGCAAACAAGUCCUGAAUGCUCUUCUCAAGCUUCAGCCUGAAAGAGGUCAGUCCAGUGGUUGUUCGCAAGAAGUCAUUGAGAUGCUGCUUCUUUACUGGCUCAUUUUGAUGAGAAGGAAGAGCUUCUGUUUCACUGUGUUGAGACAACAAGCCUUGCACAGGAUGUUCAGAUGGAGAAAGUGCCACCAACACCCUUUAUUAUUGUUUGUGGUUCCUCCUGCUUCGCUGCUGAGACAUUCAUGUUGAGCAUCGACAAGAAGAUCGUUAACGACCGCAUCACAACCUUCACCUCCGCCAUCUGCCUGAUGUUUGGCAGCUAUUACUGCUUUAACAUACACUACCCUGUGGAACUACGAUCAACACUGGAGUUCCUCCAACGGUGUUUCUUUUCCAUAAAUCCUGAGAGAGGCACCAAGGUUGAAUCCAAGAAGAAAAAAGUGUUCUCAGUCAAUCCCAGAGUCCUCACUCUCAUCUCAGACAUUGCUGACUAUGAGUGGAUCUAGUCCUACCCCUCUUGUUUUGGAUGAUAAAGGUGUGUUACAUAUUCUACAGAUGUUUUUGUUGUUGAAACAAUUGUUACAUUUCUGAAUGUCAGCGAAAAGUUUUUAACAAUUUGAAGUUUUACUAAACCAGAUUUGUUAAAGUACCG